UGGCCAAGCUCCAUGAGGAGAUCGAGC
rnacentral:piRNA from 1 species